rnacentral:rRNA from 1 species
GAUGAACGCUGGCGGCGUGCCUAAUACAUGCAAGUCGAGCGAACAGACGAGGAGCUUGCUCCUCUGACGUUAGCGGCGGACGGGUGAGUAACACGUGGAUAACCUACCUAUAAGACUGGGAUAACUUCGGGAAACCGGAGCUAAUACCGGAUAAUAUAUUGAACCGCAUGGUUCAAUAGUGAAAGACGGUUUUGCUGUCACUUAUAGAUGGAUCCGCGCCGCAUUAGCUAGUUGGUAAGGUAACGGCUUACCAAGGCAACGAUGCGUAGCCGACCUGAGAGGGUGAUCGGCCACACUGGAACUGGGACACGGUCCAGACUCCUACGGGAGGCAGCAGUAGGGAAUCUUCCGCAAUGGGCGAAAGCCUGACGGAGCAACGCCGCGUGAGUGAUGAAGGUCUUCGGAUCGUAAAACUCUGUUAUUAGGGAAGAACAAAUGUGUAAGUAUCUAUGCACGUCUUGACGGUACCUAAUCAGAAAGCCACGGCUAACUACGUG